AGUGAACGCUGGCGGUAGGCCUAACACAUGCAAGUCGAACGGCAGCACAGUAAGAGCUUGCUCUUACGGGUGGCGAGUGGCGGACGGGUGAGGAAUACAUCGGAAUCUACUUUUUCGUGGGGGAUAACGUAGGGAAACUUACGCUAAUACCGCAUACGACCUACGGGUGAAAGCAGGGGUUCUUCGGACUUUGCGCGAUUGAAUGAGCCGAUGUCGGAUUAGCUAGUUGGCGGGGUAAAGGCCAACAAAGGCGACGAUCCGUAGCUGGUCUGAGAGGAUGAUCAGCCAGACUGGAACUGAGAAACGGUCCAGACUCCUACGGGAGGCAGCAGUGGGGAAUAUUGGACAAUGGGCGCAAGCCUGAUCCAGCCAUACCGCGUGGGUGAAGAAGGCCUUCGGGUUGUAAAGCCCUUUUGUUGGGAAAGAAAAGCAGCAGGUUAAUACCCCGCUGUUCUGACGGUACCCAAAGAAUAAGCACCGGCUAACUUCGUG
rnacentral:rRNA from 1 species